rnacentral:rRNA from 1 species
CCUGCGGAGGACAUUAAUGAAUUCACUAUGGAGUUGUUGCUGGCCUCUAGGGGCAUGUGCACGCUUCACUAGUCUUUCAACCACCUGUGAACUUUUGAUAGAUCUGUGAAGUCGUCUUUCAAGUCGUCAGACUUGGUUUGCUGGGAUUUAAACGUCUCGGUGUGACAACGCAGUCUAUUUACUUAACACACCCCAAAUGUAUGUCUACGAAUGUCAUUUAAUGGGCCUUGUGCCUAUAAACCAUAAUACAACUUUCAACAACGGAUCUCUUGGCUCUCGCAUCGAUGAAGAACGCAGCGAAAUGCGAUAAGUAAUGUGAAUUGCAGAAUUCAGUGAAUCAUCGAAUCUUUGAACGCACCUUGCGCCCCUUGGUAUUCCGAGGGGCAUGCCUGUUUGAGUGUCAUUAAAUUCUCAAACUCACUUUGGUUUUUUCCAAUUGUGAUGUUUGGAUUGUUGGGGGCUGCUGGCCUUGACAGGUCGGCUCCUCUUAAAUGCAUUAGCAGGACUUCUCAUUGCCUCUGCGCAUGAUGUGAUAAUUAUCACUCAUCAAUAGCACGCAUGAAUAGAGUCCAGCUGUCUAAUCGUCCGCAAGGACAAUUUGACAAUUUGACCUC